ACUCACUCCCAAUAAUAUCCACAAUCGAAAUCAAUUAUCUGAGUCUGAAAAAAAUAAAAGAUAGAAGUAAUGAGCUUGAUAGUCUAGUAAGUAAUGAAUAUCUCAACUAGAUAUUUUAGAUAUUAUCAUAGAUACAAUGUUUAAAAAUAAAUACCAUGAAUAACAUAAUAAUAUAUUCCACACUAAGUCAAUGAAAAUCAAAAUUUUUAAUUAUUUAUAUAUAAAUAUAAUCAUAAAUUUGAUUGGAAUAAAAAAUAUAUAUAACUCAACAGCCUUUAACUAUGACCAAUGUUCAGCCCCAUUGAUAGGAUCCACUAAAUAUUAGCGCACAACCCCCACUG
rnacentral:lncRNA from 1 species